rnacentral:rRNA from 1 species
UAGGGAAUCUUCGGCAAUGGGGGCAACCCUGACCGAGCAACGCCGCGUGAGUGAAGAAGGGUUUCGGCUCGUAAAGCUCUGUUGUUAAAGAAGAACGUGGGUAAGAGUAACUGUUUACCCAGUGACGGUAUUUAACCAGAAAGCCACGGCUAACUACGUGCCAG